UAGCGAUUUGAAGCAAAAGAUACAAUUGCUUUUAUCCGGAGUCUCGUCACGUUGAGGUUAUCUUGGAAAGUGUGGGGAUUAUGACAAACGCUUUAGAAGGAGCAAAAAUUCUGAAGAAAUAUCAGAUGGUGUUUUCGUGGAGUCGGAUAAUAGCUUGGAACACCUUUCAGAGGAUAUAAAAAAUUUCAGUCCACAAGUUGUUAGCAAGUGAAGUUCGGUGACGGUGAUGUCGGGGAGGAAAACUAUUGAUGGGUGUGCCUGGAACACAAGACAAGUGGAUUCGUUGAUGGGAAUUUUCGAUAAGAAAGCGAGGGUAACAGUCAACGCAGCCAAUUAGAUGAGGAAAAAACUGUAGGAUAAGGAUGUGUGCCGGCCGCUCCCGACCAAAGACGUUCGUGGAUGGCAUUAUACAUGGGAAAAAUCCGCUGUCCCCUAUUUUCCUGGAAUGAACAACCCUAAGGAACGUUACGACUUGAAAGAUACCGAGGGACCCAAGGGCCUUGAUUGUAAAAAAUGUUAAAAUUUAUGACGGUCCCUAGGGUUCCUGCAGCUCCGAAGAAGGAUGAUAAAGAUCUGAUGAUCAUCUUGACCGAGGGUUUCUUUAUGGUUUAUGUCACGGGGCGUAAC
rnacentral:lncRNA from 1 species